UUUAAGCGGCUGCGCCUCGGGAGGCGUCGCCUCGAGGAGCAGCAACGAGCAAAAUGCCAACGUGUGCUCUGCGCAGUAAGCCAUCUCCGCCAGUUCACCGUGGCCUUCACCGCCUCAAUCUGAGGGACGCCGCGCCUCUUCCGCCUAACUGCAGCGCCAGGAGAAGUCGAGACGAGGGCCACGGCCACGGAUGCUGGGGCCGAAGGCCGCAUCGCAUCUGUUGGUCCUGGAGAGGACAAGAAGCGGGGAACCGCUGGUAGAGCGCUACCUCCGUUUCCUCUCGGCCAUGGCCACCGGUCCCGCGCCCGACACCAACGUUCAACCUUUAUCCAUUCUGUAAGCACAUCUAUCUCUGGUUUCAGUGGAGAUGAAACUGAUAUAUUUAUUUGCAACCCUAUUGCUAGAAUCACAUGUUUGACUAGGGCUCUUACGGUUUUUAUCUGUUGAGAACGUGUUUAUUCCUUCAACAACAAAUCCAAAACUUCGGAGCAGAAAUACCAGAAGUCACAUGACCCUAAAACCAGGGAGAAGUGAAGAACAAUAUUGGCAGCCAUCCAGUUAGCAAGCAUAUGUGGACUAGGGCUAAACCUCUGAUUUAUGUCAACAUGUCCAGUAACUACAACGGAUUAUGUAUGUUAGGCCUUUGUAUGUUCGUGAUGUAGUAUCUGAUUGAGCUAUUAAUGAGGCAGUAAUUAUAAUUACGUCCAGUAGUCCUUACACUACCUGCUCCCUUUUAGUCCUUUUCUCUUUCAGGGAGAAGCUUCUAACUUGUCAAGAGUUGUUCUUUUUUUUCACGAACAUGCAGAGACAAUAUAUGAUGUUUUCCUGUUCACUUGCAUGAGAUUAUUCAGAUUUUGUUCAGUGGCAAUUGUUAAUUUAUUAUGACCAUAGUAUGAAUAUACGGGGACUGGCCUUUCACUUAUUCAGUUUUCAGGUCUUUUGAAGCUCAUAAUUUGAUAUAGAAAAGAAUGAAGGUACUAAGUUUAUAGCAGCUCAUAAUGAAGGUAGUACCGGAUUUUAUGAUGCCCAGAAAUAUGAAACGUUGCAUCAGCUAUCAACUCCCUGUUCGGGUUGCGGGCUCAAGGCUGUUUCUCGGCCAAUUUCUUCGCUAUAGAAAUUGACAAUCACAUUUCAUUUCCACGGUGCACAUUUGACUGUUUUAGUACCUCGAUCCAUCGAGGUAUGAUUUAAAAGUUAGUUUCUGGUUACACAUAGGAGCAUGGUAGCUCUCUGUUUGGUCAGACAGUUAAAACCCCGUAUGCUCCAUAUGCCUUCAAUUAUGUUGUCAAAUCCAGUCAUUUACUUGCUUAUGUUAUCAUGCAGGAUAGUUAACCCCGUAAAUGAUCAUAGCAAAUGUCAUCAAAUUGACAAUUUAAGAAGUGAGUACUACAAUGGGGAGCUCCCGUGACUAAAUUUCUCAACUUGUACAAUAUGCAGUUGUAGGAAAUUUCAGCUAUCCAGGCCCAUCCUUAGCUUAGUCUAGAUGGUGAUAAAACCUUGUGCUUGUACUGCACUUGAAACGAUUCAGAAUUUUGUUGUAUUAGCCCAUUUAUUUGAGGUAUUUUGUGUCAACUUAUCAACUCAGUUUACUGCAUGCCUAAAAACACUUCAUAAAACAUGACUAUUUGUGUCCUUCUGCAGCUGAAACAUCUCUAGACAUUCUGACCAUUCUUUGGACAGCGGUUUGACUCUCCUCAUCACUCAUGGGAUACAGUAAGAUUCUGUAAUUUCACGAGCAGGUGAGCUGGAUAGAACAUGCAUUGAAAUGGUGGAAGCAAGACAAACGAGUGUGGCAGUUGUUCUUGGCCCGAGGGAGCUUGGUAUGCCAUCUUGCUUCACCUGUACAAAGCUGAAUAUGUGUAUCUGGUUUUCCCUCAAUAUCUAUUAGUUGUAGACACUGCUGUAGUUCUUUCAUAUGGUUACUUCUUACACUCAAGUGCCCAACAGAGGAGCUGUUCAGUUCAAUAGUGUAUUAUGUGUAGUUUAUUCGGUUGGAACAUGGAUUUUUUGUAAUCACUUUUGCAGUGUCUCUUGCUCUACACAAUGCAUGCAAAUUGGUUAAUGCAUUGCUU